rnacentral:rRNA from 1 species
UACGGAGGGUGCAAGCAUUGAUCGGAAUUACUGGGCGUAAAGGGCGCGCAGGCGGUUAGGAAAGUCAGAUGUGAAAUUCCGGGGCUCAACCCCGGAGCUGCAUUUGAAACUUCCUUUCUAGAGUUUAGUUAGGGAAAUCGGAAUUCCACGUGUAGCGGUGAAAUGCGUAGAUAUGUGGAAGAACACCAGUGGUGAAGACGGAUUUCUGGGCUAUAACUGACGCUGAGGCGCGAAAGCAUGGGGAGCAAACAGG